rnacentral:lncRNA from 1 species
AUGCCUCGGCCUCCCAAAGUGCUGGGAUUAUAGGCGUGAGGCACCGACACCCAGCCCUUCCCUUUCUUUAAUAUUAGAACCCAGGACUUUUCUUGAGUGUGGGGAGAGAGAAUUGUUAUAGCACCACCCUGCCAUCUCUGGGUACUUGGUUACUAGCAAGUGGGGACCAGAGGCUCCUCCUCCCCCAGUGAGAGGGACAGGAAAGACGACCUCAGUGCCAGCCUCACAGGACAGCUCCGGUGAUGCCGGGCUGCAGUGACAGUGGCCACCCAGUACGGGGGCUUGCUGCAUAGCAAGGUCACCCUGAUGCUUGGCAAGGCCCUACCACCACUAGCUCCUUAUGGGUGGCAGAGGAACCCAGGGUGGCCCCCUUCUUGGAGCCCCAUGGUGUAUCCACCUAUGCCUGGCCUCAGCUGUCACCGAGGGAUGACAAGAGACAGAGUGGGCACAACUGUGCUGACUACCCUGUGCCUCUGAAUCCUGAGCCUCUCAUGCAUUUGCCCUGCCUCCCUCCUGCCACUGCACUGGGCCCUGAACCUAUUCCCCACCAUUGGCCAUUGCCUACUCAAUGCAUCAGAAAAAGGCCCAGUUGUCAGGUUAGCAGCAAGUACUAAUUCACGUUCAGCCGACCUCCAUGCCAGUACCAGUCACCACCAGCAGAAUGUAAUUAGAUGUGGUGACAAGUCCAUUUCACGAUCCCACUUCCAGUUCAUUUCCCUAAUUGUUUUAUGAGAAAAUAAUUGUUUAUAUAGACUGCAAUAUGUUCCUUUCUUUGUCCUGGUGUGGCUGACACAAACCACACACCAGAUCUUCACACCAGCCUGUGAAACAAGCACACCAUCAAAUUUCCCAUAUGUUUGGGAGACCCUAAUCAUGUAAAUGGUUUGAUUAAAUCUUUAAUGAACUGAGAAUUUAUUCCUCUCACUUCCGAAGCUUUGACAUUCUCAAAUACCUUAGGACCGGAACAAGAUGAUCUCACAACCAUCCCAUCCAAGAACGGAAUCCCGGGAGCCAGGUUCUGGAGAAGGUGAUGGGUUGCUAACGCCUCAGCGUGAUGUGGACAUUUUCCCAAACGCUGGUCCUAGAUCAGCCAAAGGAUGGUGAAUAUCAGUGGUUCACACUCAAGUUCUGUGGCCUGUCUCUGUCUUUCUGGAGAGACUCCAAACGCGAGGCUUCAUCACAGUGUGUAUGGUCUCUGCAUCUGCGAAGCAUUGUUCUUUCCUGGGUGACCUGAAUGGUCGCUCAGCAUGGGAAGUGCAUGCUGCCUUGUGGGCCAGCCACCUGGCUGAGGGCUGCCCAUCCGAGCUCCUGGACAGCUUCAAACGCUUCGUUAUGGGGAGCUUGGGGGAUAUGAUGACACUGGAUUUCCACUCUACAACAUGAGCUUAUUUUUUUUUAAUUUUAUAAGUCUGAGAAUAGCUUGUCCAUUAUAAUUUAUCUUUCCAAACAGAGCAGCAAAGAAUUUUAGGUGGUCUUUUAAAUUAAUUAUGGAAUAUUUCCUCAGCCAUGCAGUAUGAAAAUGUUUCCUGGGUGCGUGCCACACACGUUUCUCACUGUCUUUAGGUUCAUCAGACUGCCCAUUAGUCUUUCCCCUGCUGUCUCCCAGGAAGCCCCACUACAGCCCUUCUAUCCUGACCCCACCCCUGGGAGCUGUCCCUGGACGCUCUCCACCCACCUACUUUCUGCUCCGCCCAUGUGCAGCCACUUUGAGGUCUGUCAUGAAUAUAAAGUGUGUGACAUAUUUUUAUUUCCUGGCUCUCUUGUUCAUACGUAUCUUUAUUUAAUUCCCAGCAUGUGUCAUGUUAUGUGUGUUCUCAGCUUAUGUUUUUACGUUUAGAAGAGUUUCGCCUGUUUUCUGCAGGGAUGAGACACUUCGGGCCAACUUCAAUGUUCUAAUUCCGAGUUUGGAAAUCAACUUUUGGACUGAAAGCUGAGCUUGUCUGAGAUUUGUCAGGGCCCCUGGUGGUUGGAAAAGUGUUCUGAAUCCAAUAAAAGGAAAGCGGUGAUUUACACUAUGUUUCCCUUUGUAUUUUGGGUACAUUUUACAUAUUGGGCAAUUUUGACUGGAGGUAGUUGGGAAGGUAUUUGCUUGAAUGUGUGCACAUGCGUGCAUGUGUGUACAUGAGUGCAUAUGUGUGUAUGUGUCAUGUAAUUGUGGAUUUGCAUGUGUCUUUGCACCUUGUGUGAUGUGUGGGUGCAUGUGUGUACACGUUGUGUGAUGUGUGUGCAUAUGUGUUCAUAUGUGUGUGGUGUGUGCGCGCACAUAUGUGCAUGUGUACAUGCAAUGCAUUUAUGUGUGUGCCUUGUAUGAUGUGUGUGUGCAUAUGUGUGCUUAUGUGUGCUGUGCUGUGUGUGUGUGUGUAGGCUACAGUACCUCCGUUUUGGAUGCUAAUCUGCCAUAUUGACUUCUGAUUAACCCCAUUUCCAGAAUGCCUCUGAGAUUUCUGCUUCAUCUAUUGUUAAGAACACGUACUUACUGUAAAUCCUGCCACCCGGUCAAAACAACCUUGAUGCCACACUCCUUCUGAAGUAAUUUACCCUUUCCCUGUGGUAUUUAAGCCCUGGGUCUGGGGGGGUACAUUGUGGCCACCCAAGACAUGGCUUCUGUUCCUAAGUCCCUAUGAAAUGUUUCUUUCUGAGAAACUGGAUUUGUCAGCCUCUCUUCAGCCUCUCAGCUCUGUUGGCUUUGGGUAUGAGUUUGCAUAGGCCUGCUCACCAUGGAACAGUGUGUAUAUGUGUGCGGUGUGUGUGCAUAUGUGUGCCUGUGUAUGCACCUGUGUAUGUGUUUGUGUAUCUGUCUGUUUUUCCUGGUUGGCAUUGGUGAUGAGGCAGGGAGAGGAAAGAAAC